rnacentral:rRNA from 1 species
CCUACGGGUGGCAGCAGUGGGGAAUAUUGCACAAUGGGGGAAACCCUGAUGCAGCGACGCCGCGUGAGUGAAGAAGUAUUUCGGUACGUAAAGCUCUAUCAGCAGGGAAGAAAAAAAGUCCUUUAGACUUUGUACGGUACUUGACCAAGAAUCCCCGGCUAACUACGUGCCAGCAGCCGCGGUAAUACGGAGGGGGCAAGCGUUAUCCGGAUUUACUGGGUUUAAAGGGAGCGUAGGCGGCAGCGCAAGUCUGGAGUGAAAUGCCGGGGCCCAACCCCGGAACUGCUUUGGAUACUGUUCAGCUGGAGUGCAGUGGAGGUAAGCGGAAGUGCUAGUGUAGCGGUGAAAUGCGUAGAUAUUAGGAGGAACACCAGUGGCGAAGGCGGCUUACUGGACUGUAACUGACGUUGAGGCUCGAAAGCGUGGGGAGCGAACAGGAUUAGAUACCCCAGUAGUC